UACGGGGGGGGCAAGCGUUAAUCGGAAUUACUGGGCGUAAAGCGUGCGCAGGCGGUUCGUUAAGUCAGCUGUGAAAGCCCCGGGCUCAACCUGGGAACGGCGGUUGAAACUGGCGAACUAGAAUCUGGCAGAGGGGGGUGGAAUUCCACGUGUAGCAGUGAAAUGCGUAGAGAUGUGGAGGAACACCGAUGGCGAAGGCAGCCCCCUGGGCUGAGAUUGACGCUCAGGCACGAAAGCGUGGGGAGCAAACAGG
rnacentral:rRNA from 1 species